UACGGAGGGUGCAAGCGUUAUCCGGAUUCACUGGGUUAAAGGGUGCGUAGGCGGCUUUAUAAGUCAUUGGUGAAAGCUCGCAGCUUAACUGUGAAACUGCCAAAUGAAACUGUUUAGCUUGAAUGUGGUUGAAGUGGGCGGAAUACAACAUGUAGCGGUGAAAUGCUUAGAUAUGUUGUAGAACACCGAUUGCGAAGGCGCUCACUAACCAAUUAUUGACGCUGAGGCACGAAAAGCGUGGGGUAGCGAA
rnacentral:rRNA from 1 species